AGAGUUUGAUCCUGGCUCAGAACGAACGCUGGCGGCAUGCCUAACACAUGCAAGUCGAACGAAGGCUUCGGCCUUAGUGGCGCACGGGUGCGUAACGCGUGGGGAUCUGCCCUUUGCUUCGGAAUAACAGUUAGAAAUGACUGCUAAUACCGGAUGAUGUCGUAAGACCAAAGAUUUAUCGGCAAAGGAUGAACCCGCGUAGGAUUAGCUAGUUGGUGGGGUAAAGGCCUACCAAGGCGACGAUCCUUAGCUGGUCUGAGAGGAUGAUCAGCCACACUGGGACUGAGACACGGCCCAGACUCCUACGGGAGGCAGCAGUGGGGAAUAUUGGACAAUGGGCGAAAGCCUGAUCCAGCAAUGCCGCGUGAGUGAUGAAGGCCUUCGGGUUGUAAAGCUCUUUUACCAGGGACGAUAAUGACGGUACCUGGAGAAUAAGCUCCGGCUAACUCCGUGCCAGCAGCCGCGGUAAUACGGAGGGAGCUAGCGUUGUUCGGAAUUACUGGGCGUAAAGCGCACGUAGGCGGCGACUCAAGUCAGAGGUGAAAGCCCGGGGCUCAACCCCGGAACUGCCUUUGAAACUAGGUUGCUAGAAUCUUGGAGAGGUCAGUGGAAUUCCGAGUGUAGAGGUGAAAUUCGUAGAUAUUCGGAAGAACACCAGUGGCGAAGGCGACUGACUGGACAAGUUAUUUGACGCUGAGGUGCGAAAGCGUGGGGAGCAAACAGCGAUUAGAUACCCUGGUAGUCCACGCCGUAAACGAUUGAUAACUAGCUGUCCGAGGCACUUGGGAGCUUGGGGUGGC
rnacentral:rRNA from 1 species